AAGAUUGUCGUCAGACUUGGUGUGUUAGCCUGCUCGCCAGUGGUCGUCUCUGCGUGGGUGAUGGAUUGGCUCCGGGGGUGCGGGGGAGUUAUCUGCGCCCGCGGUGUGCGUUCCCUGCAAGCUGCGGGUCUCGGUAGCUACAGAUUGGUGGCAAUUCCUCGCCAGAGUCGGGCUUCGCCUCAGAUCCGCCUUGCCUCGUCGUACGACCGCCUCAUAGUCUAAAAUCUCGGUGAGAUUUCCCCUACGAUUAUCGUCAUUGUCUAGGUUGUGCGUAGCACCAUUUUAAUCGGGGAUCUGUGCUCAGUGGCGCGCGCCGGCGAUGCCCCGCCGUGGUGUGGUUUGCGCCGUCGGUGGGUCAGCCGAGGGGGAGAAGAAACUGGGCUGGCCGUCGGAUCGGUGAUGGUCGGCUGAGAAUAGAAGCAGGAUACCUCUUCGCGGGAUUCGAUCCUCACCGUUGGAUCAGGAUCUGGUGGCUCGGGUUGGG
rnacentral:lncRNA from 1 species